ensembl:lincRNA Gm44671 predicted gene 44671
GGACAACCUAAAAUUAAAAAUGUGCUAUGGUGAGAAACAGUCCAGCAGACUGCGCAUGCGGAGUCUCAGAGGUUUUAUAUUUGUCUAGUCAGAAGGGGCUCCUAGUCUGUCAACCUUUUGGUAAUAUCUGGUGAUUUAUGACAGAACUGCUUGGCAAAGUACAUGGAUGGAGGCAGAAGAAAACACACAUCAUGUUAAAGAUAAAAUUGAACACAAACAAGGAUUGGAUAACCAAUGAGCUCCAGAGACCUGCUGUCUUCAUCUUCCCAGUUUAUGGUGACUUUACCAAUGGUCAGCUUUUUGUGGGGAUGCUGGAGAUUUGAACUCAGGUCCUCAUGCUCUGGUAGCAAGCACGUAACAACUGAACCAUCUCCCAGCCCCCUGCCACUUUUCUUGAGAUGGUUUCAUAUGGCCUAGGAUGUAGUGUCUCUGUUGUGGUUAGAGUGUGACAUGCCCCACCCAAACUCAUGUAUUUGGACCAUCCCUGGGCAGGUGAUCCUAUGCUCUAUAAGAAACAGUCUGAGCAAGCCACGAGAAGCAAGUCAGUUAGCAGUGUUCCUUCACAGCCUCAGAAAUGCCUGCUUGAGUUCCCGUCCUGCUUCCUUUGAUGAUGAACAGUGACAUGGAAAUCUCUUGUAGACACCACUGCUUUCUUGACUGCGGCUUUCAUCUUUGGAGAAACCACGAUUGUAUCUCUGUCUCUUGAAGAUGGACGUGUUCCAUGACUUGUCA